rnacentral:rRNA from 1 species
AGAGUUUGAUCAUGGCUCAGAUUGAACGCUGGCGGCAGGCCUAACACAUGCAAGUCGAGCGGUAGCACAGAGAGCUUGCUCUCGGGUGACGAGCGGCGGACGGGUGAGUAAUGUCUGGGAAACUGCCUGAUGGAGGGGGAUAACUACUGGAAACGGUAGCUAAUACCGCAUAAUGUCGCAAGACCAAAGUGGGGGACCUUCGGGCCUCAUGCCAUCAGAUGUGCCCAGAUGGGAUUAGCUAGUAGGUGGGGUAAUGGCUCACCUAGGCGACGAUCCCUAGCUGGUCUGAGAGGAUGACCAGCCACACUGGAACUGAGACACGGUCCAGACUCCUACGGGAGGCAGCAGUGGGGAAUAUUGCACAAUGGGCGCAAGCCUGAUGCAGCCAUGCCGCGUGUGUGAAGAAGGCCUUCGGGUUGUAAAGCACUUUCAGCGGGGAGGAAGGCGGUAAGGUUAAUAACCUUGUCGAUUGACGUUACCCGCAGAAGAAGCACCGGCUAACUCCGUGCCAGCAGCCGCGGUAAUACGGAGGGUGCAAGCGUUAAUCGGAAUUACUGGGCGUAAAGCGCACGCAGGCGGUCUGUCAAGUCGGAUGUGAAAUCCCCGGGCUCAACCUGGGAACUGCAUUCGAAACUGGCAGGCUAGAGUCUUGUAGAGGGGGGUAGAAUUCCAGGUGUAGCGGUGAAAUGCGUAGAGAUCUGGAGGAAUACCGGUGGCGAAGGCGGCCCCCUGGACAAAGACUGACGCUCAGGUGCGAAAGCGUGGGGAGCAAACAGGAUUAGAUACCCUGGUAGUCCACGCCGUAAACGAUGUCGAUUUGGAGGUUGUGCCCUUGAGGCGUGGCUUCCGGAGCUAACGCGUUAAAUCGACCGCCUGGGGAGUACGGCCGCAAGGUUAAAACUCAAAUGAAUUGACGGGGGCCCGCACAAGCGGUGGAGCAUGUGGUUUAAUUCGAUGCAACGCGAAGAACCUUACCUGGUCUUGACAUCCACAGAACUUUCCAGAGAUGGAUUGGUGCCUUCGGGAACUGUGAGACAGGUGCUGCAUGGCUGUCGUCAGCUCGUGUUGUGAAAUGUUGGGUUAAGUCCCGCAACGAGCGCAACCCUUAUCCUUUGUUGCCAGCGGUUAGGCCGGGAACUCAAAGGAGACUGCCAGUGAUAAACUGGAGGAAGGUGGGGAUGACGUCAAGUCAUCAUGGCCCUUACGACCAGGGCUACACACGUGCUACAAUGGCAUAUACAAAGAGAAGCGACCUCGCGAGAGCAAGCGGACCUCAUAAAGUAUGUCGUAGUCCGGAUUGGAGUCUGCAACUCGACUCCAUGAAGUCGGAAUCGCUAGUAAUCGUAGAUCAGAAUGCUACGGUGAAUACGUUCCCGGGCCUUGUACACACCGCCCGUCACACCAUGGGAGUGGGUUGCAAAAGAAGUAGGUAGCUUAACCUUCGGGAGGGCGCUUACCACUUUGUGAUUCAUGACUGGGGUGAAGUCGUAACAAGGUAACCGUAGGGGAACCUGCGGUUGGAUCACCU